UAUUGAUUUUGUUUUCAGUUGCCAUGUAGUUCCACAUAUAGUUUCAUUGGUUACUUGUCCUACCUGGAAUAAUUUUAUUGGUUACUUGUCCUCCAUGUAGUUCCAUAUAUAGUUGUAAUUCCUGACUAGAAUCUGGAUUGUUCCUAGAGUAUUAUUGCUGCCAUUAGUUCCUAAUUGCACAACUAUACCCUUUUGUUUCUCUAUCUUCUUAAUUGAAUAAUUUUUGUAUAGGCUGUUAAAAAGGGUCGAGAUCCAACACCAAGUGAGUUGCAUUUGCACGUCCAUACUCAUGGUAAUGAUGAAAAAUCUUUUGUUGCUGAGAAAUCCUGAAUCGUACAUGAAAAAUAUCAGUAGAUAUUACAACAACAAACACAAACUCAAUCUGAUAUUGAUCAGUAUAAAGCAUAUUAUCAAGCCGCCGGAGGAGAAAAGAAAAGAAGAGUAUAUGGCCUUGGAUCGCAAGUAAAAUGCUACUACGGGCCAAAUCUUCUUGGCUCUCUUGGAUCUGAUGCUAUAUCGUCAACAACACGUCCAAAUUCUCAAUAAACACCGAUAGGGAAUCUGGAUGAGUUAGUGAUGCGAUUGAUUCGUGCACUGACAGAUCAUAUAGUUCCUGUAAUCGUUGAGCGGGUACGCAAAUUAGUUUCCUUACCCUCGCAUCAUCCAAAUACUAAUAUAGCACCUAUAGUUCCAACAUCUUCUACUGCUAAUAUUGAUGAGGUUCAUGCAUUGGGUUCUGAUGAUGACCGUAACUCUCCAGCCUAAUAUAGUUACCUUACUUUGUUUGGACAUUAUUGUUCGUCCUUGUGGAUUUUUUGUACUUAAUGAUACUGUUAUAUGCAUUAUGCUAUAUAUUUUGGACCUUGUUGAA